UACUCUGGUUUCUCUUCAGAUGGCAUAAAUCUUUGGCCUUUUACUGAAGAUUUCCAUAGAGAGGAACAACAAAAAAGAUUACUGGUGACAUCCUAUUGAUUUUAAAGCUCUAUGAAU